rnacentral:tRNA from 1 species
GGAGCUGUGGCAUAGUGGGUAAUGCUUCUGCCUGCAAUGCUGGCAUCCCGUAUGGGCAAUGGUUCAAGACCUGACUGCUCCA